AGCCGAUGAUUUUACUAUUUGCUACUCUUGACAAUCUUGAAUGACGAGAUAUUUUCACCAAGAUCUCUGAGGCU